UUGAAUCAAGCAUUUGAUGAAAGUUUGAAAGAGUAGGAGGGCGAAAUGAAUUGAUUUGUUUAUUGAGAAAACACUCGACGUUGGAUCGAGUCUUAUUUUUUUAUUUUUUCAGAAAUGGUGGAUUUUACUCUUUGGUUAGUGUCUAAAACAAAUAGAGAAAUAAAACAAUACAACAUUAUAUACACAUUGGGGAAGUGGGGUACAUUUUGUCAAAUGGGGAUUCAAAAUCAUGAAAUAAUUAAAUCGGACCCAAACAACAAAUGAUGCGAAAUAUGAGUGUAAGUGCAAGAGAACCGGCUCAUUGUAAGAAAGCCCAAGAGUAAGCUAUGUGAGGUUGAUGGCGAUGCUUAAAAAGCAAUCGACUUACAAAGGUGUGGAAAAUGGGCUCGAUAUUAAAUCGAGAAAAAUAUGAUUUUAAUAGUUUUAAAAUGGUUUUGAAUGAAUGAUGAAAUUAAAAGAAAACAAAUUUGCAUUAUUAACAAAUGAAACUAUGAGUAUAAUAAAGGCAUAAACAUAAAAAAGAAAAUAAAACAGCUAAAAGAAAAUAAAAUAGCUAAAAGAAAAUAAAAUAGCUAAAAGAAAUAAAAUGCCAAAAAAAAAUGCUACACAUGAGUAUUGACCCCUCUCCACUUAAGAUUAUGAAACUACCCUCUCUCCACUAGGCCAUUU
rnacentral:lncRNA from 1 species